rnacentral:rRNA from 1 species
UACGUAGGGUGCAAGCGUUGUCCGGAAUUAUUGGGCGUAAAGAGCUCGUAGGCGGCUGGUUGCGUCUGCUGUGAAAUCCCGGGGCUUAACCCCGGGCGUGCAGUGGAUACGGGCCGGCUGGAGGCAGGCAGGGGAGAAUGGAAUUCCCGGUGUAGCGGUGAAAUGCGCAGAUAUCGGGAGGAACACCGGUGGCGAAGGCGGUUCUCUGGGCCUGUACUGACGCUGAGGAGCGAAAGCUAGGGGAGCAAAGCGGG